rnacentral:rRNA from 1 species
AGUGAACGCUGGCGGUAGGCCUAACACAUGCAAGUCGAACGGCAGCACAGGAGAGCUUGUUCUCUGGGUGGCGAGUGGCGGACGGGUGAGGAAUACAUCGGAAUCUACUCUGUCGUGGGGGAUAACGUAGGGAAACUUACGCUAAUACCGCAUACGACCUACGGGUGAAAGCAGGGGACCUUCGGGCCUUGCGCGAUUGAAUGAGCCGAUGUCGGAUUAGCUAGUUGGCGGGGUAAAGGCCCACCAAGGCGACGAUCCGUAGCUGGUCUGGGAGGAUGAUCAGCCACACUGGAACUGAGACACGUUCCAGACUCCGACGGGAGGCAGCAGUGGGGAAUAUUGGACAAUGGGCGCAAGCCUGAUCCAGCCAUACCGCGUGGGUGAAGAAGGCCUUCGGGUUGUAAAGCCCUUUUGUUGGGAAAGAAAUCCAGCUGGCUAAUACCCGGUUGGGAUGACGGUACCCAAAGAAUAAGCACCGGCUAACUUCGUGCCAGCAGCCGCCGUAA